CGAUGCUCGGAGCAGCUGCUAAAGCCGCAAACACUUCUGUGUGGGUUUUGUUAGUGUCCUCUCCCCUGCCCUUCCAGAGGAGACUCAUCUGAAUCGUUGAGGGCUGUCCCAGGUGAUGGAUGGUUUGUUUCCACUGAACACAGUGGAAGGGACAGCGGGAAUCAGGUAAAGAGCCUGGGGCUGGGCCUUAGCAGGCACCUCUCUCUUCCAUUACAGUAUUCAGGAGAACAGCAGGGCACAAACAUAACUGUGCCAUCUCUGCAUACGCUGCCCUCACCAGGUUCGUUCAGAUCCAUUGGGCCAGCAUGACUUCUCAUGCCUUUUAAUGCAGAGAGCAAAGCUGUCUGGAUCCAGAGGGCAGAGCUGUUACAGCAUCAGAUCCUGAUCUUCUGUAGAAACUGCCAGCAACAGUGCUUCGGCAGGAUGGGCUUUCCUCCUGGCUGCACUUACCAAGCAUCUUCCCAGGCUACAGAAGUCAUGAUUGCUUAUCUUCAGUCACAGAUGGGAAAUGAAGAAGCAUGCUGCACUGCAAGGCCAGAGAUCAUGGAGAAUGGCAAGCUUAUAAGGGCAGAAGCCAUCCUGUUACUCCCAGGGCUGGGAGCUGACUCUGAAGCAGGCAGGAGGAAAGGCAGACCCUGGGAGGCUAGUCACUUCUCCAUGAGUCCCAAGGUCAGGAUGACCCCCAUCUCUCUCUGUUCACCAUUCAAAUGCAUGGAGGUUGACACAGAAAAUCUGAGAGGCUUUCAAGAAGCCAGCUGAAGCCUUUGCAUUGCUGUUUACUACAGAGCAGCUUCAGGCUAUUCCCUGGCUGCGAUUUUACUUGAUGGGGAAUGAGUCAGCCAGAAAAUCUGUUUCAUACUGAAGCAGAAGAAAUCUUAAGACAAAUUGCACAUAAGAAAAAUUUGCUAGCUCUACAUCAUACCCCUCCUGUGUUGUAGACUAAACAAGAAAUUAGUCAUCUACCUGCUUAUGUAAGCAGAAAGCAAAAUGCCCUUGAUAUGGGAAGAGUGGGACACCACAAUGUGAUUCCACUUUUUGAAAGUGAUUUGGGGAACUACAGACCACAAAGCUUAAUGUCUCUAUCAGGCAAAUGCAUGGAAGCUACAACAAAGAAUGUAAUUGGUGGAAAUGUGGGAAACGUAUGGUAAAAUAGUGAUGAGUCAUGAUGGUUUUAUAGA